CCUACGGGUGGCAGCAGUGAGGAAUAUUGGUCAAUGGACGCAAGUCUGAACCAGCCAUGCCGCGUGCAGGAAGACGGCUCUAUGAGUUGUAAACUGCUUUUGUACGAGGGUAAACGCAGAUACGUGUAUCUGUCUGAAAGUAUCGUACGAAUAAGGAUCGGCUAACUCCGUGCCAGCAGCCGCGGUAAUACGGAGGAUUCAAGCGUUAUCCGGAUUUAUUGGGUUUAAAUGGUGCGUAGGCGGUCGGUUAAGUUAGAGGUGAAAGCCGGAGGCUCAACUGCAGAAUUGCCUUUGAUACUGGUCGGCUAGAGAGUAGUUGCGGUAGGCGGAAUGUAUGGUGUAGCGGUGAAAUGCUUAGAUAUCAUGCAGAACACCGAUUGCGAAGGCAGCUUACCAAGCUGCUACUGACGUUGAGGCACGAAAGCGUGGGGAGCAAACAGGAUUAGAUACCCGGGUAGUC
rnacentral:rRNA from 1 species